CUCACAGUUUCAAUGGUUUUAACCCAUGGCC
rnacentral:piRNA from 1 species